GGCUGCUGCUUUGGAUGAGAUGUUCCACCACCGAGAAGACUGUGUCCAAAGAUACCAGAAAGCGUUGCUCUUGAUGGAAGGUCUCUUGAACUUCAUCACCGAGCAAGGAGAUGUUGAGAACAUCAAUAAAUGUAAAAUGUGCAUUGAACGACGGCUGUCCAGCUUGCUAACAGGAAUCUGUGCAUGACAAUAGGAUGUAUUUAUUUUUUCCACACAGGAGUAGCGCCUCUUUCCUGCUAAGCCUGGUGUAAACUGUGGGACAGGUAGAUACAGGAAGGACCAUUUUCCAACCAGUGAAAAAGGGCUGAGGAAACUAAGGACCAAACCUGCUUCGCAGCCACUGGGGUUUUUUGUGUGUUGUUUGUGAAGAAGAACAGAUGGGCUUAUGGCCAUGCCAGUUUGGCCCUCUUCAUUUGGAGAUACUUUCGUCUACUGCGGGCAGUGGACACCUGGGGGGCUUCUUGUGAUUGGAGAGGUGAAGCUCAGCCAGGGAAGGAUGUCCCUGGUGGUGAACAGACCUGUUCUUCUACAGAUCUUUGUCUGAUUGCACGCUUGGGCCCCGUCCACCACCUCUCCCCAAUCUCAAUGUACUUGAUGUCCUCCAACAUCUCCCAGGCUUCUCCUCUCUCUUUGCAUGGGGGAGAAGAUCUGGAGCUCAGCUUUGCUUCAGCGUACUUCAUCCACUGGGAUGCUGGAAAUGAGACCUGAUGCUCUCCCGUGGUGGAUGUGUGAUGGGGCACCCAUUCUCCAUCCAUGGGGAGGUGGACACAUCCAUAGAAGACCGUAGACCUCUUUCAAGCAGUUGGAGCCACACAAUACAAUCUUGAAGCGAUCGCGUUCCUUCUCAAGAAGCCAAAAACCCGUCUAGGGUAGAGACAUGCCUCCUAUACCCGGGCAAGGGGACAUUCGAUAAAUGCAUGGAAAUGACCCCCUCGUCCAAUUUAGGUACACAUGUUGUGAGAAGGCACAACAAAGUUUCUGGAGAAACCUUGGAGUUUUUUCUUCUUCUCAUCAAUAGCUUCUCUUCCAGGAGGGACAGGAAAAGAGAGGAAAGAAAACACAUAUGCAAUACACAACACACACAUACACUAGCUUUGUGAAUCAAAGGAGCACUUUAUGGAGAUGUUGAACUCGAUGGUUGCGGGCUGGAUCUUCUGUAACAGCUCCAGAGGUGUCUACUGUAUGGGACUUCUUGACGUGUUCUGCUCUGCGCUAAAUUCAACGUAGAGGGUUCCUUUGUGUUUUUUUUUUCGUUUUCUUUUCUUCAGAAAUUGCACUACAAGUAUGUGUGGGUGUCUACCCACACAUACACAGACACGUUGCUAAGAUCCAAUAUGUAUUUAUGUGUAUAUAACGUAUAAUGUUACGUGUUUUAACUGUACUGUAUGUUGUUAGAAUAAGGGGAGGGGGGGACAGCUACACCUUUUUCCUGUUCUCUCUGUUAUCCAGGUUGCUAACUUGAACAAUUUCUAACAUCAAUCAUGGUCUGUUUUAUUUUCUCUCUCCUCCUCCUUCUUCCAUCUUCUUCCUCUUUUUCUCCUCCUCUUCCUCCUC